AUUGAACGCUGGCGGCAGGCCUAACACAUGCAAGUCGAGCGAGCGGCGGACGGGUGAGUACUGUGUGGGUAACUGCCUGAUGGAGAGCGCUAACGACAGUAAACGGUAACUAAUACCGCAUCCCAUCAAUCCUGCCCAGAUGGGUUUAGUUAGAAGGUGGGGGACCGGCCCACCAAGGUGACGAUCCGUAGCUGGUCUGAGAGGCUGACCAGCAACACUGGAACUGAGACACGGUCCAGACUCCUACGGGAGGAAGCAGUGGGGAAUAUUGCACAAUGGGCGCAGGGCUGAUGCAGCCAUGCCGCGUGUGUGAAGAAGGCCUUCGGAUUGUAAAGCACUUUCAGCGGGGAGGCGUUACCCACAGAAGAAGCACCGGCUAACUCCGUGCCAGCCGCCGCGGUAAUUC
rnacentral:rRNA from 1 species